UUAAAGAAAGUUUGGGCAAUGCUAGGAGAUCAUGACAAUAACUCUGAUAGGGAAACAAAUCUCCACAGGAGACCGCCUCAUUGGCAAGACGAUCUGCAAUUUCGUUACCUCUUAUCCCACAGUGACUAGGAAUCCAGGCGAAACAAACAUUCAGGCCAAGUGAAAUACAUUCAUAAAAUAACUUUCUAAUGUCAUAUAUUACAGGGUACUGGUUUCUGGAUUUAAAAGGAAAUUGAUUUAAAGCUUGAAGUGCGCUCAUGGAAUCCGUAAAAAUGACAACAUUUUUAAGUCUAUAUAAUUUUGCAUAUUCUAUUGCUCUGAAAAGGCCAAAGCAUUCCCCCGUAAAGACGGAGGAUUCUGGAGGUAAUUUGACUUUUUGGACAAUUUUAUACUGCGAGUGGAAAACCCCGACUCCAGUAAUUUCUGUGCAAGAAUGUUUAGAUGCGUCUGUAUAUAUGUGAUGAAAACCAUUAUAAUCUGUGUCUAAAAUUUCAUUAAAUUUGGAUACAAUGUUUAGAUCUUGCUUAUCAAUUGGGAGAAAACAAAUAUUUAUAGGGACUAAGAGAGAUUCAAUACUGCAAUGAAACAAUGGUAAGUGUUUUGAACGGAAUAUGGGAGAGGACAGAGACAUUAAUUUAUUGUAGCUGUGCAAAAGACAAGGAAUAGUUUUAUGUUUCCAAUAGUCUGAAAUGGGAACUUUUUCUGAUAAGCAGUGAAGUUUUGGGAAAAGUUGAUGAUUUGAGAAAUUGAAUGUACGAAAGAGGAAUUUAUCACACAGAAACUGCCGUCUAAAUUUGAGAGGAGGAUCACAACAUUCAACUUGAAGCGCAUUUACUGGACUACUUUUCAUGGCACCUGUUACAAUUCUGAGAGCUUUUGACUGUAUCAGAUCUAAUUUUUUAAAAGCAGAUUUAUUGCCUGGCUCGAGAAGAAACAUGCCGUAGUCCAGAACACUUCUGAUGAGAGCAUUGUAUAUAAGCUUCAUUGAAAAAGGGUGAGCUCCCCACCAAACUCCAGAUAAACAUCUGAGAAUAUUUAUUCUUUUUUCACACUUUUCUGCAAUAUACUCGCAGUGUUGAUUUCCAGUCAGUUUUGAGUCUAGAAUUACUCCCAGAAAUUUGUGAUGAGGUUUUACAGGAAUCAAAUCAUUAUCAUAAGAAAUUUGGACAGGAGGUGGAUUUCUCAAUCUUGAAAAAAUUACUGUGGCACUUUUAUUAGCAGAUAAGUUUAAUCCAUUAUUAUCAAGCCAGGAUUUUAAAUUAGAUAGUGAAGAAGUAAGUGCUGACGCAGCAACUUCUAUUUUCUUAUCAAUAUUAUAAAACAGCAAGUCAUCAGCAUAUUGUAAAACUUUUGUAUUAUUAUUGGAAAUUGAUGAUGCCAAAUCGUGAGUGUAAGCGUUAUAUAACAAAGGGCUAAGAACAGAGCCUUGUGGAAGUCCUUUCCAACAAGUGCGACUAAACGUGGAGCCAUCCUGUGAAAGUUCUAGACACCUUUCAUAUAAGAUGUUAAUGAUAAAGUUACUAAGCAUUGUGGGAACUUUUAAGGCGUAGAGUUUUUUAAGCAAUAUUGGGAUUAUCACGUUAUCAUAAGCGGAAUUUAUAUCUAAAAAAGUUGCAACAACUGACUGGUUAUCAGAGAAUGCAAGCCUAAUAUCGGUGAUAAAUAAACUAAUAUUGUCCAUAGUACUUUUUCCCUUUCUGAAUCCAAACUGGUUAACAGCCAGUAAAUCAUUACUCUCAAAAAACCAUUCAAGCCGAUUCUUUACCAGAUGUUCAGCUAAUUUCAAUAAUACUGAGGACAGAACUAUUGGACGGUAUGAAGAUGGGUCAGAUGGGGACUUAUUUGGUUUAAGAACUGGCAACACUUUUUGGGACUUCCAUGACAGAGGGACACUAUUACCUGUCAACGCAAUAGAAUUGAUAAUUUGUAAAUAAUAGGAGAGAACAUGAUCAUUUAAAUUAUGAAAGAAGGAGUACGGAAUACCAUCUACACCUGGAGACGAAUCAGUUACAUUUUGGAUGAUUCCCUUGAGUUCAAACAGUGUAAAUGGCUGUUCAAUAACAGACACAGCGACUGGCGAUGGAGUUAUAGUUAGUUUUUCAGGGACCCAUGGAGGAGCCAGUUUAUCAACAAAUGGACAAGCAAUUUCUAACGGGAUAAAUGGGUGGGAAGAAUCUGUCAUUGCAGAUUUAAAUCGACGAAUGUUUUGCCAUACUAUCGAAGAUGGCGUUUCAGGGGAAAUUGAUAAGCAAAACUUUCUCCAGCUCUCAAACUUUUUCUUUUUAAAAAGUUCUCGAGUUUCUUCAAUAACUUUACCCAAUUCUGAAUAAUUUUCAUUUGUCAUAUUUGCUUUAUAGUUGCGCUCAGCAGCCUUUCUUUUUUUGAUGGCCUCUGUACAGUCACUGUCCCACCAUGGUUGUGGGGGAAGCUUACGAUUAGGUACUUUUAACGGAAAAGCUCUGUUCGCAGAUUCAACUAAUAUAUUGGUAAAGGACAAGGCACAAGUGGAUUCAUUUCCUGAAGAGACAAUUGGGAGAGACGAUAGAUAGUUCUCAACACCUUCUUUAAAAGUAUUCCAAGCAUUACUAGUUUUGUCUGGUAAUCUGUGUUUAAGUAAUGGAACAUACUUAGAUGUUAUAGGACUAUUAAAUGGAAAAGUAAUUAAUAUGGGGAAGUGGUCACUGCCAUAUGAUGAGGGUAGAGUUUGCCAAGAUAACAGAGAGGCUAGGCUAGGGGAACAUAUUGACAAAUCAACAGCACUUUGACUUUGGCCUGGACUGGUAAAACGGGUAGGAGAUCCUGUAUUUAAUGUACAUAAGUUAUGAGUGUCAAUUAUAUCUAAUAACAUUUCCCCAUAGUUAUUUGAAAUAGAACUGCCCCAUGCACGAUGAUGACAGUUAAAAUCUCCUAAGAUGAUCAGAGGUUUAGGGAGAGUUGAGAUUAAUUGAUCAAUUUCACUUAAGAUAGAAGAAGAGGGGUGAGGACUAGAGGACAGAGCGUCUGCGUAGGACUUGGAGACUGGAGGGUGGAGCUUGGAUGCCUCUGCAUACGAGAUGGAAUUUUCAGCCAUAUAAGCCUUGAUUUUCUUUUGGCGGACAAAUUCUGGGCAUGACUUACUAGUUGCAUAGUGGAAACCAGAACAAAGACAGCAGGAGGCUUGGUCUUCAUGGAUGGAGCAAGAAUCACCAAUGUGGGCUUGCCCACAUUUAAAACAGCGGGGCUGGGACCUACAUUGGGCCUUAGUAUGACCAAAUCGGCAACAAUUAAAACAUUGAAUUGUAGGAAAAAUGUACAAUUCCACUGACAAAGCAUUAUAGCAUACAAAAACUCGUUUAGGUAAAGAUUGUCCGUCAAAUGUUACUACGACUGAUUGGGAGGGUUUCCAAGAAACUGUACCAUUAAUAUAAGACUUAAAAUUCAA